rnacentral:rRNA from 1 species
AACGAACGCUGGCGGCAGGCUUAACACAUGCAAGUCGAACGCCCCGCAAGGGGAGUGGCAGACGGGUGAGUAACGCGUGGGAACAUACCCGUUCCUGCGGAAUAGCUCUGGGAAACUGGAAUUAAUACCGCAUACGCCCUACGGGGGAAAGAUUUAUCGGGGAAGGAUUGGCCCGCGUUGGAUUAGCUAGUUGGUGGGGUAAAGGCCUACCAAGGCGACGAUCCAUAGCUGGUCUGAGAGGAUGAUCAGCCACAUUGGGACUGAGACACGGCCCAAACUCCUACGGGAGGCAGCAGUGGGGAAUAUUGGACAAUGGGUGCAAGCCUGAUCCAGCCAUGCCGCGUGAGUGAUGAAGGCCUUAGGGUUGUAAAGCUCUUUCACCGAUGAAGAUAAUGACGGUAGUCGGAGAAGAAGCCCCGGCUAACCUCGUGCCAGCCGCCGCCGUAACAC